rnacentral:RNase_P_RNA from 1 species
CCGGAUGGCUGGACGACCGCUGGGCCCGCGAGAGAUCGCGGGGCUGGAGGAAAGUCCGGGCUCCACGGAAAUACGGUGCCGGUUAAGGACCGGCGGGCGAAAGCCUAGGGAAAGUGCCACAGAGAACAGACCGCCGUUCCAGCCCCAUGCGCAAGCAGAGGGCUCGGGCGGCAAGGGUGAAACGGUGGGGUAAAAGCCCACCGCGCUUCCAGCAAUGGCGGCGGCACGGCAAACCCCACCGGGAGCAAGGCCGAAUAGGGAGGGCUGUCGCGGGAUUUCGGUCCCAGCGGCAGGGGCAUUUCCGCCCCGCUCUCCGGGUUGGCCGCGCGAAGCCUGCGGCAACGCAGGCUCCAGAGGAAUGGUCGUCCAUGGCCCAGGGGGUGACCCCGAAGCCAAGACAGAACCCGGCUUACAGGCCGUCCGGUAUC